CCCUUAGAUGUCCUGGGCCGCACGCGCGCUACACUGAUGAAGGCAGCGAGUCCACCUUGGUCGGAAGGCCCGGGUAAUCUUGUGAAACUUCAUCGUGAUGGGGAUAGAUCAUUGCAAUUAUCGAUCUUCAACGAGGAAUUCCUAGUAAGCGCAAGUCAUCAGCUUGCGUUGAUUACGUCCCUGCCCUUUGUACACACCGCCCGUCGCUCCUACCGAUUGUGUGCACAGGUGAGGACUAGGGAGCCCCGAUGUAGGGUAGUUUCUACCCCACUUUGGGACGAACUUGUCCAAAUCUUUUCACAUAGAGGAAGGAGAAGUCGUAACA
rnacentral:rRNA from 1 species